GACGAACGCUGGCGGCGUGCUUAAUACAUGCAAGUCGAACGGAAAGGCCCUGCUUUUGUGGGGUGCUCGAGUGGCGAACGGGUGAGUAACACGUGAGUAACCUGCCCUUGACUUUGGGAUAACUUCAGGAAACUGGGGCUAAUACCGGAUAGGAGCUCCUGCUGCAUGGUGGGGGUUGGAAAGUUUCGGCGGUUGGGGAUGGACUCGCGGCUUAUCAGCUUGUUGGUGGGGUAGUGGCUUACCAAGGCUUUGACGGGUAGCCGGCCUGAGAGGGUGACCGGCCACAUUGGGACUGAGAUACGGCCCAGACUCCUACGGGAGGCAGCAGUGGGGAAUAUUGCACAAUGGGCGGAAGCCUGAUGCAGCAACGCCGCGUGCGGGAUGACGGCCUUCGGGUUGUAAACCGCUUUCGCCUGUGACGAAGCGUGAGUGACGGUAAUGGGUAAAGAAGCACCGGCUGACUACGUG
rnacentral:rRNA from 1 species